UCGGGUAGUCGAACUGCCAAAGACUGAUGAAGGCCUGGGUUUUAACGUGAUGGGAGGAAAGGAACAGAAUUCUCCAAUUUACAUCUCCCGCAUCAUCCCUGGAGGGGUGGCUGAAAGACACGGAGGCCUCAAAAGAGGAGACCAGUUGCUAUCAGUGAACGGAGUGAGCGUGGAAGGGGAACAUCACGAGAAAGCUGUAGAACUUCUCAAGGCUGCUAAGGACAGUGUGAAGCUGGUCGUCAGAUACACCCCAAAAGUCCUGGAGGAGAUGGAGGCUCGUUUUGAAAAGCUGAGGACAGCUCGGCGUCGGCAACAGCAACAGUUGCUUAUUCAGCAGCAGCAGCAGCAGCAGCAGCCACAACAAAACCACAUGUCAUAGGCCCUUGAAGAAAAGCUAGCAGGUCAAUCAUCCAACAGUCACAAAUUUGGAACCCGUGCUCCGGAAUCCCAGCACAUAGAAAAAGGAAAAGAAAACACCAGUAAACACCUGUCACAAAACUGUGAACACAUGGUGUAUCCAUCCUUUACCAAGACAAUUCGACAUCUUCCUCCUCUGGGCACCAGCCCCCGUUCAUUGCUUUUUUACCUACUCAGACCUUCCAUUCAUGGCAGUGGAAAUGCAGUGUGUUGAGGGAGAGAAGUAUUCCAGUCUGCAGACUGAAAGAGUGUAAGAAUAAAGUCUGUGACUUUUGAACAAA
rnacentral:lncRNA from 1 species